rnacentral:rRNA from 1 species
AGUGAACGCUGGCGGUAGGCCUAACACAUGCAAGUCGAACGGCAGCACAGUAAGAGCUUGCUCUUACGGGUGGCGAGUGGCGGACGGGUGAGGAAUACAUCGGAAUCUACUUUUUCGUGGGGGAUAACGUAGGGAAACUUACGCUAAUACCGCAUACGACCUACGGGUGAAAGCAGGGGAUCUUCGGACCUUGCGCGAUUGAAUGAGCCGAUGUCGGAUUAGCUAGUUGGCGGGGUAAAGGCCCACCAAGGCGACGAUCCGUGGCUGGUCUGAGAGGAUGAUCAGCCACACUGGAACUGAGACACGGUCCAGACUCCUGCGGGAGGCAGCAGUGGGGAAUAUUGGACAAUGGGCGCAAGCCUGAUCCAGCCAUACCGCGUGGGUGAAGAAGGCCUUCGGGUUGUAAAGCCCUUUUGUUGGGAAAGAAAAGCAGCAGGUUAAUACCCCGCUGUUCUGACGGUACCCAAAGAAUAAGCACCGGCUAACUUCGUG